GGUGAUUUGAUUUGAUUUUCUUCGAGAACUAGAAUUUUCUUCCUGAAGAUCUGAAGGCAAAUCUCCCUUGUUGUCAAGGUAAUCAAGGGAAUGGCCACUAGUUCGGCUCCGGUGAGUUGCAGAAAAGCUUCGAUCUCUCCGUCUUCCACAGAUCAUCCUAGUAAGUUUCUCAAAUCAUUCGCGCCGUUUCGAUUAUUUCGUUAUAUGUACAAAUCAAAGCAGUGACUUCGAUUUCGAUUUCGAGUCCUAUUCCGAUUCCGAUUCCGGCGCCCUCUGAUAUAUAGCCCUAAUUACCGCUCAUCAUAUUUUUACAAACUCCGAUCGUUUCAGCUUCGACUUCAAUCACUCAGUGAGUCAACUCGUUACCAGCACUGAUCUGUCUCCCAAUUCCGGCGAGUGUAUCCAGUGAAACCAGAAGCCAUCCGCGCGGAAGCCACAGGCCGAUACCGACGGAGAAGCUUCCGAUCGUAAUCGGCGCGUUUCUCAGGAUCAGACAAAGUGGAAUAAGCGGCGUGGAUCUUCAUGAAAUCGGUGGCCGACGAGUCUUUC
rnacentral:misc_RNA from 1 species